rnacentral:rRNA from 1 species
AGUGAACGCUGGCGGCAGGCCUAAUACAUGCCAGUCGAACGGCAGCACAGCAGAGCUUGCUCUGUGGGUGGCGAGUGGCGGACGGGUGAGGAAUACAUGGGAAUCUGCCCAGUCGUGGGGGAUAACGUAUGGAAACGUACGCUAAUACCGCAUGCGCCCUUUGGGGGAAAGCCGGGGACCUUCGGGCCUGGCGCGAUUGGAUGAGCCCAUGUUCGAUUAGCUAGUUGGCGGGGUAAAGGCCCACCAAGGCGACGAUCGAUAGCUGGUCUGAGAGGAUGAUCAGCCACACUGGGACUGAGACACGGCCCAGACUCCUACGGGAGGCAGCAGUAGGGAAUAUUGGACAAUGGGCGCAAGCCUGAUCCAGCCAUGCCGCGUGAGUGAAGAAGGCCCUCGGGUUGUAAAGCUCUUUUGUCCGGAAAGAAAAGCAUUCGGUUAAUACCCGGGUGUUCUGACGGUACCGGAAGAAUAAGCACCGGCUAACUUCGUG